CUGAGCAGGAGGGUGGAGAAACGCCGCGUCUGUUAGCCUGAGCAGGAGGGUGGAGAAACGCCGCGUCUGUUAGCCUGUUAGCCUGAGCAGGUAGGUGGAGAAACGCCGCGUCUGUUAGCCUGUUAGCCUGAGCAGGUAGGUGGAGAAACGCAGCGUCUGUUAGCCUGUUAGUCUGAGCAGGUAGGUGGAGAAACGCCGCGUCUGUUAGUCUGAGCAGGAGGGUGGAGAAACGCCGCGUCUGUUAGCCUGUUAGCCUGAGCAGGUAGGUGGAGAAACGCCGCGUCUGUUAGUCUGUUAGCCUGAGCAGGUAGGUGGAGAAACGCUGCGUCUGUUAGUCUGUUAGUCUGAGCAGGAGGGUGGAGAAACGCCGCGUCUGUUAGCCUGUUAGCCUGAGCAGGUAGGUGGAGAAACGCCGCGUCUGUUAGUCUGUUAGCCUGAGCAGGUAGGUGGAGAAACGCCGCGUCUGUUAGCCUGUUAGCCUGAGCAGGUAGGUGGAGAAACGCCGCGUCUGUUAGCCUGUUAGCAUGAGCAGGUAGGUGGAGAAACGCCGCGUCUGUUAGCCUGUUAGCCUGAGCAGGUAGGUGGAGAAACGCAGCGUCUGUUAGCCUGUUAGUCUGAGCAGGUAGGUGGAGAAACGCCGCGUCUGUUAGUCUGAGCAGGAGGGUGGAGAAACGCCGCGUCUGUUAGCCUGUUAGCCUGAGCAGGUAGGUGGAGAAACGCCGCGUCUGUUAGUCUGUUAGCCUGAGCAGGUAGGUGGAGAAACGCUGCGUCUGUUAGUCUGUUAGUCUGAGCAGGAGGGUGGAGAAACGCCGCGUCUGUUAGCCUGUUAGCCUGAGCAGGAGGGUGGAGAAACGCCGCGUCUGUUAGCCUGUUAGCCUGAGCAGGUAGGUGGAGAAACGCCGCGUCUGUUAGUCUGUUAGCCUGAGCAGGUAGGUGGAGAAACGCCGCGUCUGUUAGUCUGUUAGUCUGAGCAGGAGGGUGGAGAAACGCCGCGUCUGUUAGCCUGUUAGCCUGAGCAGGUAGGUGGAGAAACGCCGCGUCUGUUAGUCUGUUAGCCUGAGCAGGUAGGUGGAGAAACGCCGCGUCUGUUAGUCUGUUAGCCUGAGCAGGUAGGUGGAGAAACGCCGCGUCUGUUAGUCUGUUAGUCUGAGCAGGAGGGUGGAGAAACGCCGCGUCUGUUAGCCUGUUAGCCUGAGCAGGAGGGUGGAGAAACGCCGCGUCUGUUAGCCUGUUAGCCUGAGCAGGUAGGUGGAGAAACGCCGCGUCUGUUAGUCUGUUAGCCUGAGCAGGUAGGUGGAGAAACGCCGCGUCUGUUAGUCUGUUAGUCUGAGCAGGAGGGUGGAGAAACGCCGCGUCUGUUAGCCUGUUAGCCUGAGCAGGUAGGUGGAGAAACGCCGCGUCUGUUAGUCUGUUAGCCUGAGCAGGUAGGUGGAGAAACGCCGCGUCUGUUAGUCUGUUAGCCUGAGCAGGUAGGUGGAGAAACGCCGCGUCUGUUAGUCUGUUAGUCUGAGCAGGAGGGUGGAGAAACGCCGCGUCUGUUAGCCUGUUAGCCUGAGCAGGUAGGUGGAGAAACGCCGCGUCUGUUAGUCUGAGCAGGUAGGUGGAGAAACGCAGCGUCUGUUAGCCUGUUAGCAUGAGCAGGUAGGUGGAGAAACGCCGCGUCUGUUAGCCUGUUAGCAUGAGCAGGUAGGUGGAGAAACGCCGCGUCUGUUAGCCUGUUAGCAUGAGCAGGUAGGUGGAGAAACGCCGCGUCUGUUAGUCUGUUAGCCUGAGCAGGAGGGUGGAGAAACGCCGCGUCUGUUAGCCUGUUAGUCUGAGCAGGAGGGUGGAGGUAACCAGAUGGGUUGGAUUGGUGGCAGACAGCAGCUUUCACCCAUGAAGCUUUGAGGGCCGUACCCUAACCACAC